AGUAGGUGUGAUGACAUGAGAUUACCGCCCCAGUCUGAUUUAUCUGACUGAAUGGUACCCCUCUGACCUCAG